AUUGAACGCUGGCGGCAGGCCUAACACAUGCAAGUCGAGCGGAGCGGCGGACGGGUGAGUAAUGCCUAGGAAUCUGCCUGGUAGUGGGGGAUAACGUCCGGAAACGGGCGCUAAUACCGCAUACUACCAGAUGACCCUGGGCCGGAUGAGCAAGUGGGUGGGGUAAGGGCCUACCACGGCGACGUUCCGUAACUGGUCUGAGAGGAUGAGCAGUAACACUGGAACUGAGACACGGUCCAGACUCCUACGGGAGGCAGCAGUGGGGAAUAUUGGACAAGGGGCGAAAGCCUGAUCCAGCCAUGCCGCGUGUGUGAAGAAGGUCUUCGGAGUGUAAAGCACUUUAAGUUGGGAGGCGUUACCAACAGAAUAAGCACCGGCUAACUUCGUGCAAGCCGCCGCGGUAAUAC
rnacentral:rRNA from 1 species